rnacentral:rRNA from 1 species
UCUGGCGGCAGUAGCGCGGUGGUCCCACCUGACCCCAUGCCGAACUCAGAAGUGAAACGCCGUAGCGCCGAUGGUAGUGUGGGGUCUCCCAAUGCGAGAGUAGGGAACUGCCAGAC